rnacentral:lncRNA from 1 species
UUUUCUAUUUCUUGCUUUGCUCCCCCUUUACCAAUGCUUUCUUUUCUUUUAUUUCUUUCCUUUUUUUCUUUGUUCAGCUUUCCCUUAGUUGCAAAUUUCUUUCUCCUUUCUUGUUUCUUUUUCUUCUUCAUCUUAUCCUCAUGAGCCACGAGACAAAAGUUGGGGACUUCUUCCUUUUCUUUUUUAGAGCUUAAUUCUUUUACUUGAUUUGCUUCAUCAUAGUGGCUUCUACUUGAUCACACACUUCUUUAGCUAAAAUAUAAGAAGAAAUUAUAUUAAAUUUAUUUAUAUCUAAUGAGCAAUAAAGAAUAUUCAUAACUUUUACAUUCAGUUGGGCUAUUUCCUUAUCAUAUUCAUCUCAUUCUCUUUUGAGUUUAGGAAAAGCAAUGCCAUCAAGCAAAAUAGUGCAUGAGUGAGGUCUAUUCAUUAUAAUUCUCUAUAAAUUAUAAUUAAGUGUUUGAAUAAAUUUUUUUUUCUAGCCUUCCAAUAAAUAUAAUCAAAUCCACUAAAAAGAGAUGGCCUAACAAUGGAAUAUUCUUUAUCAAAAGUCAUUCUAAAAGAUGCCAUGAUCUUUUGCUCUAGAUGGUUAAGUGUACAAAAGAUAAAAGAGUACUUGCUCUAAUACCACUUAUUUCUCAGAGGAGGCAACCCAAGAAGGAGAGUGAGUUAGAUUUUGUAAAAAUAAAUUUUACAACUUGUGCCUAAAAAUAAUUCUAAGAGUAUUCAUGGAGUACUU